GUGGCUCCAAGUCUUGAGGCGAGCAGAGAAAUUGCCGGCAUCGGAGAAAUCGGAGUCGCCGAACGCGUGUUGGAGAGUGAACUGGAUCUUGGAAUCGGAAGCAGACUCCGAAAACCUCUUCCGAGAGGUUGAGGUGGCGGCGGUGGAAGGUGGAGGCGAAUCGGAGUGGAAGGAGGAGGAGCGUCCACCUUCGAUGCCGAACUCUUCGUCGUCAAGGAGAAGCUCGUCGGAUUGAAAACCUAGAGCGCAAGCGAUCAACAGAGUCAGCACCAGAACCCACCGGAACAAUAACACACCCAUUCUCUCGCCGUCUACUUUCCCA
rnacentral:lncRNA from 1 species